CUACGGGUGGCUGCAGUGGGGAAUAUUGCACAAUGGGCGCAAGCCUGAUGCAGCCAUGCCGCGUGUAUGAAGAAGGCCUUCGGGUUGUAAAGUACUUUCCGCGGGGAGGAAGGGAGUAAAGUUAAUACCUUUGCUCAUUGACGUUACCCGCAGAAGAAGCACCGGCUAACUCCGUGCCAGCAGCCGCGGUAAUACGGAGGGUGCAAGCGUUAAUCGGAAUUACUGGGCGUAAAGCGCACGCAGGCGGUUUGUUAAGUCAGAUGUGAAAUCCCCGGGCUCAACCUGGGAACUGCAUCUGAUACUGGCAAGCUUGAGUCUCGUAGAGGGGGGUAGAAUUCCAGGUGUAGCGGUGAAAUGCGUAGAGAUCUGGAGGAAUACCGGUGGCGAAGGCGGCCCCCUGGACGAAGACUGACGCUCAGGUGCGAAAGCGUGGGGAGCAAACAGGAUUAGAUACCCUUGUAGUC
rnacentral:rRNA from 1 species